rnacentral:rRNA from 1 species
UAAAGGUCGAAAGGGGAGAUUCAGUAUCCAUUCCUCGCCGCCGCUCCGUGCCGCGGGUACAACUCGGGGCGCCCUUCGGGGAGCCCUGGGCCCACGGCGCGGUCUCGCGCGCGGGAGGUGGAGCGCACUUCUCCCCGAGUAGGACGCCGCGACCCGCUGGGUGUCGGUCUGAGGCCUGGGUGCGAGCCCGUGUCGCGGUUCUUCCGCGACGCGGAGCCCCGGUGUCCCGACCGACCGCUCGGCGGUCGAACGUGAGGAACAGGCCCGCGCUUCACAGCGCGCCCGUGCCGCUUGCGAGCGUCCGGCCGAACCCGUCGCGCGGACUUGUCCGCCGCGGGCCGGUUGGCGUUGUCGGCUGGCGGACUUCUCGGGCAGCGGCCUACUCCUGUCUGCGGCGCUCAAAGUUGGGCGGCCCACCCGGCCCGUCUUGAAACACGGACCAAGGAGUCUAACAUGUGCGCGAGUCAUUGGGUCCAACUAAACCCAAGGGCGCAUUGAACGAGAAGGCCGUCCUUGUGUCGGCCGAGGGAGGAUGGGGCGCCGCUCGCGGCGCCCCCGCAUUCCCGGGGCGUCUCGUCCUACCGCCGCUCGUCGGCGGAAGGUGAGGCGCACCAAGAGCGCACACGUUGGGACCCGAAAGAUGGUGAACUAUGCCUGGCCAGGACGAAGUCAGGGGAAACCCUGAUGGAGGUCCGUAGCGAUUCUGACGUGC